UACGUAGGGCGCAAGCGUUAUCCGGAAUUAUUGGGCGUAAAGAGCUCGUAGGCGGUUUGCCGCGUCUGCCGUGAAAUUCCGGGGCUCAACUCCGGAUCUGCGGUGGGUACGGGCAGACUAGAGUGAUGUAGGGGAGACUGGAAUUCCUGGUGUAGCGGUGAAAUGCGCAGAUAUCAGGAGGAACACCGAUGGCGAAGGCAGGUCUCUGGGCAUUAACUGACGCUGAGGAGCGAAAGCAUGGGGAGCGAACAGG
rnacentral:rRNA from 1 species